rnacentral:lncRNA from 1 species
UUUAUUAUCGAUUUAACCCGAGCAUCUCUCAGUCAGCUGGCGAUGAUGUGAUUGAACAUCACGUCGGUGGGAAUUACUCUGGAUGGCUAUAUGAGAUGCGACAGAAGGCAGCCCAGGAAAUUGUGGACCAGCCCGGGACCACCAUCAGAGAUCAUCAGCCCCGCAUAGUCUCCGACUUAGCCUGGGAGGCUAUGUGUACGCACUGGGAGGCUGAUGACUUCAAGAAAAAGUUUGAG